rnacentral:rRNA from 1 species
UACGUAGGGUGCGAGCGUUGUCCGGAAUUAUUGGGCGUAAAGAGCGUGUAGGCGGCCAGGUAGGUCUGCUGUGAAAACUCGAGGCUUAACCUCGAGAUGUCGGCGGAAACCAUCUGGCUAGAGUCCGGAAGAGGAGAGUGGAAUUCCUGGUGUAGCGGUGAAAUGCGCAGAUAUCAGGAAGAACACCCGUGGCGAAGGCGGCUCUCUGGGACGGCACUGACGCUGAGACGCGAAAGCGUGGGGAGCGAACAGG